GAUGAACGCUGGCGGCGUGCUUAACACAUGCAAGUCGAACGGAAAGGCUCCUGCUUGCAGGGGUACUCGAGUGGCGAACGGGUGAGUAACACGUGGGUGAUCUGCCCUGCACUUCGGGAUAAGCCUGGGAAACUGGGUCUAAUACCGGAUAGGACCACAUUUUGGAUGGUGUGGUGGAAAGUUUUUCGGUGUGGGAUGAGCUCGCGGCCUAUCAGCUUGUUGGUGGGGUAAUGGCCUACCAAGGCGUCGACGGGUAGCCGGCCUGAGAGGGUGUACGGCCACAUUGGGACCGGGGUACGGCCCAGACCCCUACGGGAGGCAGCAGUGGGGAAUAUUGCACAAUGGGCGCAAGCCUGAUGCAGCGACGCCGCGUGGGGGAUGACGGCCUUCGGGUUGUAAACUCCUUUCGCUAGGGACGAAGCGUUUUUGUGACGGUACCUGGAGAAGAAGCACCGGCUAACUACGUG
rnacentral:rRNA from 1 species